rnacentral:misc_RNA from 1 species
ACUUUUGUUCUCCUCCUCCCUUUUUUUCUUUUCAGGAUUCUUCUUUUCUAUGUUUUAUCUUUCAUAAUAGAUCUGAUAAUUUUGAUUUUUCACUAUAUAUAUUAUGGUUAAUACUAGUAGCUUUUUCAUUUCAAGUUUUAUCCUUCCAUUGGUUCUUUCUGAGUCAAAUUGUCUCCUGUUUCGAACCAUAUAUAAGUUUUCAAUGGUUUUGUAUUAACUCAAGUAUUCAACAUUAUGUCUCUCUUUUUCUUGCUUGGAUCUCUAAUGCUGUUCAUAUUUUAAAGCAUAGGUUUAGGUUAGAUGCAUGUAACUGCCAAUUAAAAGAAGGUCAAGAGUUUUUUGAUUGUAUGAAUAUAUGAGUUAGUCAAAGCAGAUCCACACG